AUGCCUGCCCGGUUUGGGGGCUCCAAAACUCUAUCGGGUUGAAAGUUGAACUAUAGAUGAAAAAGAGACAAUGCUAACUUAAUGAAUGUUUUGUGUGGGAAUUAGUCUGUACAUUGGCCACAACCGGAUCCACAGGGAAGAGGUGCUCGAGAUGGAGGAGGACAUCCAGAUUGAGGUGGGAGGUCGAUACCAACGCGGUCCUCGGAGGCGUGCACGAGAUCGAAGGCGGGGAGCUCCGGAAGGCAGACGGCGCCAUCUCCUUACUCUCUAAAUUUACACUUAUCUAGAAUCCAAUGUUUCAUGACCAUGGCAAUAUUGGCUUCACAAAAACGAUAUAUAAAGUAGUAUCUAUCUUCUUUUCAGUUGUAUGAAUUUGGAACUGCAUUCUAAUCGCAUAUAGUUGUAUGACGUGCUUUUAUUAUGCUCAAAAUUGUUCAUCCCAAUACUUGAUCGGAGUGUAGAUUAUAUAACAACAACCAGGAACUACCAUAAAAUCUUCAUAUCACACAUUCCACCGAUGAGUAUGAAGAUCUGUGACAAGGCAAGAGCAAUCAUGAGGCCUUAUAUGCUUAGCUAUCUCAUCCAUUGAUGAUCUCUUUCAAGGAACAGAAGGACUUCUUGUUCAUUUAGAGAGGAUCAAUCUUUUGAUUUUGUUACUUAAUAAACUAAAUCUUGAGCAUUGGUGGAGGUAGCCCCUAG